UGAAGUCUGGGUCUGGGUGGUGAUGAUGGUAUAGUGGUGAGUGAGAUUGCAGGAAAUGGCGUCUGCAGCUUCAAACUCCUCUUCAUCUUCAACCAUCAUAACAUGAGGGUACAUGCGACAUUUUACUCACAAUCCCUCCAAAUCUCUUCAAAAUUGCGAGUGAUAAAAAAAGUUACAAUCCCGCAAAUUACCGCAAAUCAUCGCUUACAAAUCCUCUCAUCCGAACAGAAAUUUCUUCUAAUUCAUCACUCGCAAUAUCCCAGGAACAGUGAAUUCCCCUCAUAC
rnacentral:lncRNA from 1 species